CAGGCGGCUGCUACCUGCAAGUCGAACGGAAUUAAGUUUAACACCGAACACUUAGUCGGUGGAACACCAGAUGAAAUUAAGUAGUCGGUGUUGAACUUAAUUUAGUGGCGGACGGGUGAGUAACGCGUGAGUAACCUGCCUUACAGAGGGGGAUAACGUCCGGAAACGGACGCUAAUACCGCAUAACAUAUUUGAGCCGCAUGGUUUGGAUAUCAAAGGAGCAAUCCGCUGAAAGAUGGACUCGCGUCCGAUUAGCUAGUUGGUGAGAUAAAAGCCCACCAAGGCGACGAUCGGUAGCCGGACUGAGAGGUUGAACGGCCACAUUGGGACUGAGACACGGCCCAGACUCCUACGGGAGGCAGCAGUGGGGGAUAUUGCACAAUGGAGGAAACUCUGAUGCAGCAACGCCGCGUGAGGGAAGACGGUUUUCGGAUUGUAAACCUCUGUCCUUGGUGAAGAUAAUGACGGUAGCCAAGGAGGAAGCUCCGGCUAACUACGUGCCAGCAGCCGCGGUAAUACGUAGGGAGCAAGCGUUGUCCGGAUUUACUGGGUGUAAAGGGUGCGUAGGCGGCUCUGCAAGUCAGGCGUGAAAUAUAUGGGCUUAACCCAUAGACUGCGUUUGAAACUGUGGAGCUUGAGUGAAGUAGAGGUAGGCGGAAUUCCCGGUGUAGCGGUGAAAUGCGUAGAGAUCGGGAGGAACACCAGUGGCGAAGGCGGCCUACUGGGCUUUAACUGACGCUGAGGCACGAAAGCAUGGGUAGCAAACAGGAUUAGAUACCCUGCUAGUCCAUGCCGUAACGAUGAUUACUAGGUGUGGGGG
rnacentral:rRNA from 1 species